UACGAAGGGGGCUAGCGUUGUUCGGAAUUACUGGGCGUAAAGCGCACGUAGGCGGAUAGUUAAGUCAGAGGUGAAAUCCCAGGGCCCAACUCUGGAACUGCCUUUGAUACUGGCUGUCUCGAGGAUGGCAGAGGCAAGUGGAAUUCCGAGUGUAGAGGUGAAAUUCGUAGAUAUUCGGAGGAACACCAGUGGCGAAGGCGACUUGCUGGUCCAUUUCUGACGCUGAGGUGCGAAAGCGUGGGGAGCAAACAGG
rnacentral:rRNA from 1 species